CAGAUGAAUUGAUGUAAAAAAAUCUACUCAGUAAGGUACAGGAAUAUAUUCACAGAGAUAUGUCACCUCAAACAACAUAUAUAAGCCAGCAAACAGCAAUUGUGUGGGCUCUGUACAAGACAUGGAACUCUACCACCUCUUCCAGCCCUGGCUGCAUUCAGCCCAACAUCAUGCAGUUCAGAUCACAGUGCAGAAGGACCGCAAGAAGAGCUAGGCUGGUGGACUCCAUCCCCUCAUCUGGGAGCUUCAGAUGCAUGCUUUUUGGAGUAUUCAAGCUCUGGAAAAAGACAUGAAGGACAACUAAAACUGCACGUUUGCCAAUUAGUCCUUCCAACUGUCUGUACCCAAAGAGGAAACAGACGGGUGUCUGUAGAAAGGUGAAGAUGAAACUGACACUCUUGUCAUCACAACUCCAUUUUCUGUUUGAGAAGACUAGAAUACAAAUUCGUAUCUUCCACUUUUUUUUUUUUUCCAGUUGAAUCAUCCAUACCCUGUGGGAAAUCAAAU